rnacentral:rRNA from 1 species
UACGGAGGGUGCGAGCGUUGUCCGGAAUCAUUGGGCGUAAAGGGCGCGUAGGUGGCUUCUUAAGCGUGCGGUGAAAGCCUGGGGCUCAACCCCGGGUCGGCCGUGCGAACUGGGGGGCUGGAGCACUGUAGGGGCAGGCGGAAUUCCGGGUGUAGCGGUGGAAUGCGUAGAGAUCCGGAAGAACACCGGUGGCGAAGGCGGCCUGCUGGGCAGUUGCUGACACUGAGGCGCGACAGCGUGGGGAGCAAACAGG